AUAUAAAAUACAGAGAUAGUAUCGCGAUUUGAAAGAUUAGUGCGGAACAAUUUAUGACAGAUGCGACAAUAACGAUUAGUACAUCUUGCUAUAUUUAUUUAUGGCAAAAUAAUGUAAAUUUACUAUAUGCAAAAUGAUUUCUAAAUUAUUACGUACAAACGUUCUCGCUGUACGAUGCAUAGAAAACCUUGUGCUCGUAGGCAUGGGACCCAUACUUUAUAUCUUCGACAAAGACUCUUAUGAGUUGAAAAGUAAAUUAGAUUGUUUGUAUCCAAGUAAUAUACAUGGUAUUAUAGUGGGACCAGACAAUAAAUUGGCUAUAUUUGGUGCUAAAUCGAUAUGCAUCUGCAACAUUGUCAAAGAAGAAGGAGAAUUUAUAUUUAAAAAACAAAGUACUGAUCAAUUCAAUGAUUGGAUAAUUGCUGUGGAAUGGAUAUCAGUUAAGACAGAAAUACAAUUAGCAAUUCUAUUUGCACAUAAUUAUAUAUCAAUAUAUAAUAUAUUUGAUAAAUCUUCUCAAGUUACACUUUGUAAAGAAAAAUGCAUUCUCUAUGGUGGAUCUAUAUCAGGAACUUCUCAAAAGGACUUGGUCAUUUUCAGUGGAACAGUAUUUCAAGAAAUUUUAAUAUGGAAAAUAGAUAAUAGUUGUGGAAUUAAUGAAUGCAUGCCAGUUUUGCAUCGUUUAACAGGACACAAGGGUGUAAUUUUCUCUGUUAUUUAUGAUUCACAUUUGCGGUUUAUUUGUUCCACAUCGGAUGACAGAACUGUCAGAUUAUGGAAAGUAACAGAAAGUGAGAAUUUUGAAAAUAAUAUAAACUGGCAGGCAGCAAAGAUAGUACUAGCAAAAACAAUGUUUGCACAUACAGCAAGAGUUUGGAGAGCUAUAAUUAGAAACAAUAAUGUAGUAACGAUUGGAGAGGAUUCUCUUAUGUGUACAUGGUCUCUCUCAGGUAAUUUACUUAAUAAGGUCUACGCCCAUCAUGGAGCACCUAUAUGGAGUAUCGACACGUGUAAAAACAAUGAAAAUAUUUUCACGGGUGGAGCUGAUGGCUCUGUAUAUGUAUGGCCAGCAGCAUGCUGUAAUAGUCCCAAAAUAAUUUCUCUACCUAACAAUGAUGCGCACAAUAUUCCUAAAUACAUAUCUUAUUUGAGCAGUGGAACAAUUUUGAUCUUUAAUGAAAAGGGAACACUACUAUGUUACAACAAAGAUGAAAUAAUGCCAAAAGAGACUCUUUAUUUAGAAAAAUACUGCAGUUACUGCAUCAUGCAAGUUUCACCAUGUCGUUCCUUUAUUGCUCUUGCAUCUAGAGAAGGAUAUGUAACAAUAUACAAAGUCAAAUGGAAAUGUUCAUUCAAUGGAAAUGUACUUUUAGAAAUUAUUAAUACAGAUAGCAGUCAUCUACAGCAGCUCAUUGAAGAAAGAAUAAUGGAAUCACAAAUCUUUUCUUUACAGUGGUUGAAAGAUGACACAUUGAUAGUGUGUGAAGCAAAUGGUCUUUUGAAAAUAUUUAAUUUUACCAUCAGUGGUGUGAUUCAUGUGAAAGCAAAGUGUGUAUUACCUCCUAGUCGCGAAUGUUGGUUGACUGCAGCUACAAUUUAUGAAGAAUUAUUAAUAUGCGGAAACAGAGCUGGGAAUGUUCAUGUUUAUGAGUUGAACAAUGCGAACGAGGACAUUAAAAAACCUGUUCAAACGCUUAGCAAAAUUCACGGUAAAAUAGGAGUUCAGUCUUUUACUGUAUUAGAAGGAAAGUUAAUGACAACUGGACGCGAUGGAACAUUAAGAUUUUUUGAACUGAGCAAAGAAGACACAAAGUCCUUAUUGAUGCUUCACAGAAAAAAAAUGCCAAUGGAUUGGAUUAGUAACACGUUAAAAGUGGACGGAAUUGUGCUCAUACUUGGCUUUAAAGAGGUGGAAUUCAUUAUAUAUGACUUGUUGCAUGAACGAAUAUUAAUCAGAGUUCCUUGCGGUGGGGGUCACAGAUCGUGGGACUGUAUGAUGUUGAAUGGAACAGCAAGUUUCGCUUAUAUACGAAAUAAACAGAUCUAUAUAUUCGAUUAUCCUUUGAAAUCUUUGAAACUACCUAUUUUACAGAAUGGUUUUCAUGUAAAAGAGACAUGUUGCCUGCAACGUAUUUCGAGACUUGGUGCGCAAAAUAUUUUCAUAUCCGGUGGCGAAGACUGUACUCUACGCAUUAGCUGUAUUUCCAAAACUGAGAACAAUUCUCACGUCUUCCAUAAUUUAGGAAUUUUUGACGGUCAUCUUUCGGGCAUAAGAUGCAUAAGCAUUAUUAAAUUAAACAAUAAAGUCUGCGACUUGGGCAGCAAAUAUCUAGUCUUUUCUGGCGGAGGAAGAGCGCAACUGAAAGUUUGGGAGAUAAAUCUCAAAUAUAAUCAAUCGGCACCAAGUGCCGAUUUAUCAUGCUCGGAUAUAAAAUCUCAUAUGCUCUAUGGGCAAGACCAGUAUCGUAAGAAAUCUUGGCAAGAGGCUAAGCAGUCUUACGUCAUCGAACCAGAAACACGUUAUAUGGAUAUUUAUGUAUAUUAUCCUUCUGAAGAUGUCAGUCAUGUAUUAAUAUUUGUAGCUUGUGCAGAUGGAUACUUGAGACUAUUCAUAUACAAUAUCAAAACUGGCAAUAUAUUUUUGAAAGUAUCUACCAAAUAUGUAGAUCGUUGUAUGUUGAAGAUGUAUGUGUUAUCUCACAAAUGCAAAGUGAUUGUGUUAGCAAUGACUACGGAUGGAACGCUACGUUUUUUCGAUUUUACCAACAUAGUAUCAAAAAUAUAUGAGGAAGCAAUAUCUGAGAACGAGGAUAUUAUAAACUUCAGUGAUGCCCCUUUUGCGGAAUUUAGCUUGCAUCAGUCAGGAAUAAAUUCUUUCGAUUUAAAGAAUGUGGACGAGGACAGGUAUUUUUUGAUCACGGGUGGUGAUGACAAUCUUUUCAAUCUCGUCUGUUUUCAAAUUUGUUUGGCGGAACACGACGGAAUAUUAUCAGCUGUAAUAUUAUCUAAAUGGAGCACAACAUCCGCACAUUCUGCGCAAAUUACAGGUCUGAAAUUUAAAGAUGACAAUCAGAUAUGUAGUGUGGGAAUAGAUCAGCAAGUCAUUAUCUACAAUUAUUCGUGGUCCAAUGGAAUUCUAUCUGCAAAUAUCUUAAAUCAAGCAUUUACAUCUGUCACAGAUGUGCAAGGCAUGGACUUGUGGCCUUCGGAUAACAACAAUACUAUUGUGUGUGUAUAUGGAAGAGGCUUUGAAAUAUUGUUCAUCUAGACUCUUGCUAAAGCCAAUACUCGAACUACUGGAUCAAAAAUAUUUUUUAUGUGAAUAUCUUGUGUACAAUAUCACAUUCAUUUACCAUAAUUGACUGUUGAAGUUUGCAGUCAGAUAGGUAAAAUUAUAUAAAUAAGA
rnacentral:misc_RNA from 1 species